AGACUUACUAGCUCUGUGAAUGGGGUAGGAUCCGAGACUCUUUUCGGGGUUACACAGGCUCUCCUACCCAACUCCUUGUCGCACAGAGUGGUAAUUUGCCUCGCCACAUAUCCAAGCUUGGAAACACGGCCCUGCCCCAACCCUUUGGGCGUACGGUGGAGCAAGGCUAAACAGGAGGGU
rnacentral:ribozyme from 1 species